CCUACGGGUGGCAGCAGUAGGGAAUCUUUCACAAUGGGCGAAAGCCUGAUGGAGCAACGCCGCGUGCAGGAUGAAGGCCUUCGGGUUGUAAACUGCUUUUAUAAGCGAGAAAUAUGAUGGUAACUUAUGAAUAAGGAUCGGCUAACUACGUGCCAGCAGCCGCGGUCAUACGUAGGACCCGAGCAUUAUCCGGAGUGACUGGGUGUAAAGAGUUGCGUAGGUGGCAUAAUAAGUAGCUAGUGAAAUCUGGUGGCUUAAACAUUCAGACUAUUAGCUAAACUGUUAAGCUCGAGACCGUUAGGGGUAACUGGAAUUUCUAGUGUAGGAGUGAAAUCCGUAGAUAUUAGAAGGAACACCAAUAGCGUAGGCAGGUUGCUGGGACGGUUCUGACACUAAGGCACGAAAGCGUAGGGAGCAAACGGGAUUAGAUACCCGAGUAGUC
rnacentral:rRNA from 1 species